GUCUACAGCCAUACCACCCCGAACACGCCCCAUCUCGUCUGAUCUCAGAAACUAAGCAUGGUCGGGCCUGGUUAGUACUUGGAUGGGAGACCACCUGGGAAUACCGGGUGCUGUAGGUU
rnacentral:rRNA from 1 species